GGGGCAACCCUUAGUAGAGCGGCGCACGGGUGCGUAACACGUGGAUAAUCUGCCUGGAUGCCUGGGAUAACCAGUCGAAAGAUUGGCUAAUACCGGAUAAGCCCACGGUUUCUUCGGAGACUGAGGGAAAAGGUGGCCUCUGUAUACAAGCUAUCACAACCAGAUGAGUCCGCGGCCCAUCAGCUAGUUGGCGGGGUAAUGGCCCACCAAGGCGACGACGGGUAGCUGGUCUGAGAGGACGAUCAGCCACACUGGAACUGAGACACGGUCCAGACUCCUACGGGAGGCAGCAGUGGGGAAUUUUGCGCAAUGGGCGAAAGCCUGACGCAGCAACGCCGCGUGUGUGAUGAAGGUCUUUGGAUUGUAAAGCACUUUCGACCGGGACGAAACCGUAAAGCCUAAUACGCUUUGCCUUGACGGUACCGGGAGAAGAAGCACCGGCUAACUCUGUGCCAGCAGCCGCGGUAAUACAGAGGGUGCAAGCGUUGUUCGGAAUUAUUGGGCGUAAAGCGCGUGUAGGCGGCUUUGCAAGUCGGGUGUGAAAGCCCUCAGCUCAACUGAGGAAGUGCGCCCGAAACUGCAGAGCUUGAGUGCCGGAGAGGGUGGCGGAAUUCCCCAAGUAGAGGUGAAAUUCGUAGAUAUGGGGAGGAACACCGGUGGCGAAGGCGGCCACCUGGACGGUAACUGACGCUGAGACGCGAAAGCGUGGGUAGCAAACAGGAUUAGAUACCCUGGUAGUCCACGCCGUAAACGAUGAGAACUAGGUGUCGUGGGAGUUGACCCCCGCGGUGCCGUAGCUA
rnacentral:rRNA from 1 species